AUUACUUAAUGAGAAGAACCAAACAUCUCUGUCAUAAAACAUCCCAGCUGUUGAGUCACCCCGAGCCACACGUAGGAUAGCUCGGAUUGGGAAAUGAAAAGGAACCCCAUGGCUAAUUGAACUGAUUGGAGAGGCAGUACAGCGAGGCAAAGGCUGUUCCAUGAAGGCCGUUAUCUCUUGAAUCAGACAGGAGCAGCCCAGUGAGGAGCUUAUCAUGGGAUAAGGAGGCCGACUGGCUCCAGGAAAAACUUCAACAAGAUCAGUUACAGGAGCCAGGUGGAACGUGUGCUUCCCUCCAGGAUAGAAGUGCUCAAGUCUGAGCCAGACAUCUCCAUCACCUCCUCCAAGGCUCAGACAAUACGGCCGAAGAAUCGAACCAAAUAACAUAAGAGCCAGAGAAAGGGAAGAAGUGCUGUCUUCUGGAUAGAUAUAACAUGACUGGGGCAUUGGUGAAACCAAAGAUGCAGUGGCCACCCGCAGGAGACCUGUGAAGGACAGGGACCAGCACCUUUCCCUGAGGAGCUAUUGGCAGUUAGAGGUUAUUGGGGGAAGAGUGAAGGACAUACUCUUCAGUGGUAUAGCCCCUGAGCACUGAUAUGUUUCCCUUGCUCAAGUAACUAACCUUCCAUAGGUGCUCCUGCAGGCAACCCUAAUAAUGCAGCAGCCACAUUAAACAAACAAAUACCCCCCAUGCUGGUACAGGAGGAUGUGCUGUGCUGAGAAUAAGAAGUGAUCCCUGAACAGCAGACAUAUAAGGAAAUCUACAGAUGGAUAAUGAAGAUAGCAAACCUCUGGAUUCUUCCUAACUUGAGACAAAGGUCUGGCAGGUGUUUUCUACCACCAAUAGAUCCCCACUCCUCCCUGAUAGCUAACUGGUCCAGACUGGUCAGGUAUGCUCCCGAGGCCUGGCAUGGAUGUGUGUACCCAAAGUUGUGCUCCUAUCAGCUUCCCUUUCCUCAUCUAAAGCAGCUAAUUCUAAGUUAGGGAAAGGGGACCCCACUCCAACCCACCAGCAACCCUUCAAAGGACCCACCCAACUCCCCAGAAGAGCUUCUGCUUCUUAUGUCCCCCUUCUGCUGUUUAGUGCGUCUUGCAAGUUUUUCCUCUCCAUCUCUCUCAGUGUCUCUCUGUUUCUUUUUCUUUCUUUGUCGUGUUGUCUCUGUGCUCCUCCCCCCCUUUUUCUUCACUUUGAAUAAAAGUAUCUUUCAUCUCUUCCUGUUAAGUUUCAGAUUUUUGCCUGCAGCUACCUGUUGGGAUCAAAACACCCUGCCCCUGCAUUUUAAUUCUUUGAUCAGAAGAGAAGAACAAACUGGAUCCAGACUCCUAGCUGGCAAUAUGAAGAUGAUAAGAGAAGAUAAUAAGGAAAAUGAUGGAAGUUGAUAUAUACACAUGUAUGUAUGAAAUUAUGAAAUAACAACUAUAGAAGGAGAGACAUGAAGUCAGACAUGGUAACACAGACCUGGAAUCCUGUCACCCUGGCAAGGUGUGAGGGUUUGCCUACCUCCAACUCAAUUACUAUCUGGCUUUUAGUCUAAUCUGUAAGGUGCUUGUUAGAACUGUUUGAUAUCUUUUGGGAAAGGGGGCAAGUUUCCCCUCUGGCUGGUGCCCUUUCCUUCUCCUGGCAAGAGCUAGCAUGAGAUUCCUGGGGAAUUCUCAUUUCAGGAAGUCAGUCCACUGUUUCAACCGUCUGACAGUCAGUGCAGGAAAUCAAGAGACAUCAGAUCCCCAGAACUAGAGAAACAACAACAACAAAACGAUUAAAAACUGAUCCAUGUGGGCUGAGAACCAAACCCAGGACCUCUGCAAGAACAGCAAGGGCUCUUAACCACUGAGCCACCUCGCCAGCCCUGAUACAAAGGUCUCUUUAGAAUAUCUUCAUUCCUACCAUGCUGGUUACAUCUGGCGGAUCAUGACUUCCAAACCAGCCUGGGCCCAUAGCAAAACCCUGUCCCAGAGACAAGGAAGGAAAUAACCAGCGCUCAGGAAGCAGAGGCAAGAGGAUCAAUUGAAAUUUGAGGUCAACCUUGGCUAACUUGUCUCGAAAACCAAAUGAUGAAAUAAACCACGACCGAAAACAGACAAGAAGAAAAGCGCUAUCGGGUAAUUCCUUCCUUGGUUCCUAAUCUGGUGGAGGCCGUGGUUAUGUGAGGACACAGGAGAAGGUGGACGUGUGUAAGCCAGCAGUGGAGAGUCAUCCUAAUCUUAGACUUCUCUAAAAUCUAGGCUGAGGAGGAAAGAAAUCUGCUGGUUAAGUCAGCAAGUCCAGCACUGUCACGGUAGUUCAGCUCGAAAAGACAGGCAAUGGGACUGAUGACCUGAAUUUGAUCCCUGGGACCUAUAUGAUGGAAAGAAAGAGCAAGUCCUCCCAGCUGUCAUCUGACCUCCACAUUCCUGCACGGCAUGCCCGGUUCUCAGGCACAUACAACCACAGGAGCAAAAUUAACAGAUAAAUGUCAUUUAAAAAAAAAA